CCUACGGGAGGCAGCAGUGGGGAAUAUUGCGCAAUGGGCGAAAGCCUGACGCAGCGACGCCGCGUGAGGGAUGAAGGUCUUCGGAUCGUAAACCUCUGUCAGCAGGGAAGAACGGUCACUGUGCUAAUCAGCAGUGAAUUGACGGUACCUGCAAAGGAAGCACCGGCUAACUCCGUGCCAGCAGCCGCGGUAAUACGGAGGGUGCGAGCGUUAAUCGGAAUUACUGGGCGUAAAGCGCUCGUAGGCGGUAUGUCAAGUCAAGGGUGAAAUCCCCGCGCUAAACGUUGGAACUGCCUUUGACACUGGCAAACUGGUGUGUGUGUGAGGAUAGUGGAAUUCCAGGUGUAGGAGUGAAAUCCGUAGAUAUCUGGAGGAACAUCAGUGGCGAAGGCGACUAUCUGGCACAUAACUGACGCUGAGGAGCGAAAGCGUGGGUAGCAAACAGGAUUAGAUACCCCGGUAGUC
rnacentral:rRNA from 1 species